rnacentral:lncRNA from 1 species
CCUCUUAAUAUUUUCUUUGAUUUUCUAUCGGUUCCCCUUUCUUUCAAAAAACAAUCCCAAUAUAUUGAAACCCUAGAAAUUCGGUUCUUGUUCUCCAAUCAAUCAAUAAAAUCGCUUCAAAUCCCGUAUCUUCAAUUUUCUCUUAAAAAAGGAUAAAAUUUUUUACGAAUAGAAGCCGUGGAUUCAGUUAUAUCCUAAUCCAACCACUCCUAGUUAUUCAAAAUUCAUCCAAAGAAAACAAAAAUGUGUGAGGUAGAAUGAGGAACAUUCGUGUGACAGAGGUCAUUAUAGAUUCGGGUGAGUGGAAGGAAUAUCAAAGGAAGGGACUAUGUAGGUGAGUGAACUCGCUUGAGUUUGGGUGAGUUUGGGGUGGAGAUUAAGUGGCAAUGGCGUAGGCGAAAAUAGGAGUCACGGCUGGUCUUUAGGAUCGGGUCUGGGGAAGAUUA